AUCGAACGCUAGCGGCAUGCUUUACACAUGCAAGUCGAACGGCAGCGCGGACUUCGGUUUGGCGGCGAGUGGCGAACGGGUGAGUAAUGUACCGGAACGUGCUCAGUAGCGGGGGAUAACUACGCGAAAGCGUAGCUAAUACCGCAUACGCUCUACGCGUUAAAGCAAGGGAUCGUAAGACCUUGCACUAUUGGAGUGGCCGAUAUCGGAUUAGCCAGUUGGUGAGGUAACGGCUGACCAAGGCGACGAUCCGUAGCUGGUUUGAGAGGACGACUAGCCACACUGGGACUGGGACCGGGCCCAGACUCCUACGGGGGGCAGCAGUGGGGAAUUUUGGACAAUGGGGGAAGCCCUGCUCCAGCCAGCCGGCGUAGUGGAUGAAGGCCUUCGGGUUGUAAAGCACGUUUGGCGGGAAGGAAACGGCGCGGGCUAAUACGCCGAGGAACUGACGGUACCUGCAGAAAAAGCAACGGCUAACUACGUG
rnacentral:rRNA from 1 species